GGGGCCGUAGCUCAGUUGGGAGAGCGCCUGCUUUGCAAGCAGGAAGUCGGGGGUUCGAGUCCCCCCGGCUCCACCA
rnacentral:tRNA from 1 species